rnacentral:rRNA from 1 species
GAGAACUUAGCAGAGAUGCUUUGGUGCCUUCGGGAACUCUGAGACAGGUGCUGCAUGGCUGUCGUCAGCUCGUGUUGUGAAAUGUUGGGUUAAGUCCCGCAACGAGCGCAACCCUUAUCCUUUGUUGCCAGCGGUUCGGCCGGGAACUCAAAGGAGACUGCCGGUGAUAAACCGGAGGAAGGUGGGGAUGACGUCAAGUCAUCAUGGCCCUUACGGCCAGGGCUACACACGUGCUACAAUGGCGCAUACAAAGAGAAGCGACCUCACGAGAGCAAGCGGACCUCAUAAAGUGCGUCGUAGUCCGGAUUGGAGUCUGCAACUCGACUCCAUGAAGUCGGAAUCGCUAGUAAUCGUAGAUCAGAAUGCUACGGUGAAUACGUUCCCGGGCCUUGUACACACCGCCCGUCACACCAUGGGAGUGGGUUGCAAAAGAAGUAGGUAGCUUAACCUUCGGGAGGGCGCUUACCACUUUGUGAUUCAUGACUGGGGUGAAGUCGUAACAAGGUAGGCGUAGCGAG